GUGUUCACUUUGGCAGCACAUAUACAAAAAUUGGAACUAUACAGAGAAGAUUAGCAUGGCCCCUGUGCAGGAUGACAUGCAAAUUUGUGAAGCAUUCCACAUUUUU
rnacentral:snRNA from 1 species